ACUGCUCUGUGGCAGCUUGGUUGUGAUAUGUGUGAUGAUACCUUCUGCAAUCCUCUGGAAUGACACCACAUAUAUGACAGCUGAACUGCUACCUAGAACAACAAUU
rnacentral:pre_miRNA from 1 species